UUAAACCAAGUUCGUAAACCCACAAAAUCAGACCAUUUCAGCUAGUUACAGAGAUUUGAAAUGAUUCAAAGACUAGCUAAUAGAGAUGAUCAAGAACCCUAGACUAUGCAGGAUUUGAGGUACUUCUUUCAGGGAAAUGUGAGGAAUUUGAGUGUUAAUGCAGAAUUUUUCCAAGCCUUCAAGUUGUUUCUGUUUUUUUCCAG
rnacentral:lncRNA from 1 species